GUCGCUGUUAAUCUCCCAUUGUAAUUCAGAAUCUAUGGGAGGGGAACUCAAACUAAUGACUACAAAUCAUAUGGAGGAGACAAAAAGACUUGGAAUUAUUUUUAGGAAUCAUUCAACUUAUAAGUGUUCUCAUUUUUUUGUUGUCCCUUUAGAAAUUAGAUUUUAAAUAAGUUGCGUCAACUAUACAAAAACAUUUCUUAUUUUUAUUCUAUCUAUAUUGCAUCACUAACAUUUUUUUCCUUUCU